UGGUUUCUUGCAAGUACCCGCGUGGAGGUAUGCAAGCCGGCGUAUGCUGAGGAGAUUCUGGAAGAACCCACCGUUUUUUAUGAGGUAGCCCAGCACCAGUACAACGCAUUAGUCAGGAAAGGCAACUCAGUGAUCCCUUCAGCUCCAAUGAUGAACUUUGUGGUUUGCCCUUUUUGCUUUUCCAUUCGCACUAUUCACAUCUUCGCUUGCCUAACACUUUGAUACCGUUUCUGUUCAUAGCGUGCCCAGAUCAAGAAAACAACUGAUGAGACCGAGACUAUUCUGGAAACAACCCCGGCUGGCAAAAGCGAUGGGGAAGGUGCACUUCGAGCAUUCAUUAAGCGCCAGGGCCAAAAGUUAAGGCGGCUAUCAAACCUUUUCGGUUGUCGUGACCCCGAGUAUGUAUCACCAGAACGGUCUAGGUCGGCGACACCAUCAGAUCCCGCUUCGGGGCAGGGCCAUGGUGAACCUUUGGAGGAUGAGGAUGUGGGUGUGGUCACCCAAGAGGUUGCUGAUGAUAUGACCGUGGGGACGUACCAGGCUCGGUCUGCAUACGAGUUGAAGCCUAGGAAGGGAAUCAACAAGUACACACCUGAAGACUUCACCCAAAGAGGCCAAAGAGGCAAAAGGACGGUCGGCACCUCGCGGAUGGCGGCUUUGGAUGACUAUUUGGAUGACGAUGUAGAUUACGUGGAGGAACCGGAGCCGGAGCCGGAGCGGGUUCCUCUUCCUAGGAAGGUGAAGAAGAUAAGCGUCAAGAGGGGGGAGGAGCCAGCAAGCGCGGAAAGCACUAGUCAUCAUCCUUUAUUUAUAAUGUUGAACUUAGAGUGGUGGUAGCUCUUAGUAAUGUGGAAUUUGUUAUGUCGUUGAACUUGGAGUGGUGGUAGCUCUAUGUUAAACUUGAACUUAUUGUGAUGGUCCUUUCUAAGAAA